CCCGAAAAUGGAUGGCGCUCUAGUGUCGAGCCUAUCCCCGGCCGCUGCCGGCAGAUGCACGCAAACAAGGGGGUGCUAAGCUGCAGCGAGUAGGAGGGCCGCUGCGGUGAGCGCUGAAGGUGUCCGGCGUAAGCCCGCCUGGAGCCCCCGUCUGGUGCAAUCUUGGUGGUAGUAGCAAAUACUCAAGUGAGAACCUUGAGGACUGAAGUGGAGAAGGAUUCCAUGUGAACAGCAGUUGAACAUGGGUCAGUCGGUCCUAAGGGAAAGGAGAAGUUCUUUCCGAAGCGGGAGCACUUUUUUGCAGUGGAGAGAGCCCCGCAGUGACCGAUAGGGAAUCGGGUUAAUAAUCCCGAACCCGGACACGGAGAUUGGUCCUUCGGGGCCCAGUGCGGUAACGCAAACCAGCUCGGAGACGCCGAUGCGAGCCCCGUGAAGAGUUUUCUUUUCUCUGUAAGGAGAUCGAGUCCCUGGAAUGGGUUCGCCCCGAGAUAGGGAUGGUGGCUCCGUAGAGCAGUGCGGUGCUUGCGCUGUCCGGUCCCAGGUGAAAAUCUGAAGUGGUUUAAAAGUGCUCCAACUUGUGAGCAAGUGGUCCCAUUUUACUUCCAAGUGGUCCCACUUGGGUUGAAAU
rnacentral:ncRNA from 1 species